rfam:Triticum aestivum genome assembly, contig: Triticum_aestivum_CS42_TGACv1_scaffold_223705_3B
UAUAUACUCCCUCCGUUCCAAAUUACUCGUCGCUGAAAUGGAUGUAUCUAGAACAAAUAUACAUCUAGAUACAUCCAUACGUGCGACAAGUAAUUCGGAACGGAGGGAGUACAUC